rnacentral:rRNA from 1 species
GAUGAACGCUGGCGGUAUGCUUAACACAUGCAAGUCGAACGGACUCUUCGGAGUUAGUGGCGGACGGGUGAGUAACGCGUGAGAAUCUGGCUUUGGGUUCGGGACAACCACUGGAAACGGUGGCUAAUACCGGAUGUGCCGAGAGGUAAAAUAGAAAUUGCCUGAAGAUGAGCUCGCGUCUGAUUAGCUAGUUGGUGAGGUAAAGGCUCACCAAGGCAGCGAUCAGUAGCUGGUCUGAGAGGAUGACCAGCCACACUGGGACUGAGACACGGACCAGACUCCUACGGGAGGCAGCAGUGGGGAAUUUUCCGCAAUGGGCGAAAGCCUGACGGAGCAAUACCGCGUGAGGGAAGAAGGCUCUUGGGUUGUAAACCUCUUUUCUUAGGGAAGAACAAAAUGACGGUACCUAAGGAAUCAGCAUCGGCUAACUCCGUG